GAGUUGGUUAUUGUUCGGUAGUUUGGUAAGCCUAAAAAUGAUAUUGAACAUCUUGCAUAUGUUAUGGUACAUGCCAGUACUUCGAAACUUUCUCAUCUUAUGUACCCAACUUUCUUGGGAAUGUAUCCAUAUGUCUUCCUUUCCUUUCUCACAGUAGAUGAUAAGCCCAUGAUAAGUAGGUUCAAAGGUAUAAAAAUAUUGCAGAAUUUACCUCUAGAAUUUGGUUUUUGAGAUGUAGGAUGUACAUUGGCAUUGCUUCUACUUUCUAGAAAGUCAUUAUUAAGAAGUAAUUUCAUGUAAUUUUUCAAAUAAAAAAUACUUGUGUAAUAUUUUGAGUUUGGUAAUCAUGUACAUGAUGAACAUGUGGAUGAUUGUUAGAGAUUUGCAACGAAAUGUUAGAACAUUUGGUCAUGAUAUUUUCAUAUACAAAGCAUGCAUAUGAGUUUUAAAAAAUUUAUACUCUCUCAUUAUGGCUACUCUAGAGUCGAUUUUAUCCUCUUAGGGAGAGACUAAAGCUACAAAAGUACAUGACCCUUUGAAUACUAUUACCCAUGGCCGCUUCAAUCCACAUCCAUUAUCUUUGAAGGCUUUGCUUAGCCCUACAUCGUAGGCCAAGGGAUUGCUCUGCAAGAACUUGUUCAGGUGCUUUAAAAGACAAGCCUUCUCUUCCUCUCUUUUCUUAGAAAAUCCCUCUUUAGCCACCCUCUAUUUUUCCUCAUGAUAGGAUUUCUCUCUCUGGCCCCUGCCACCACUUCUGCUACAACCCUAUGGUGCCUCCUUUAGGAUUAUAUAUAGGAGGCGCUAGGGGUUCCUGGGGCGCCUCCACUUGUGCCCUUUAGAAUCCCAAUCAAACUCAAAUAAGAGAGGGGCCGCCCUUAUGCCUAUAGGGAGUGUGCCAUCAUAUGGCAAAUAAAAUAAGGGAGGGGUGGCCCCACACGGUUGGUUGUCCACUUGGACCUUGUCCAAGUUGGCCCAGGUUAAACCCCAGUAUGAUCUUUCUUAACCUUAGGCUUUAGCCCAAUUAGAGCUCAAUCAAUUGUCCAAUUAAAUUCGGAUCUUUCUUGAUCCAAUUUAAAGAUUAUCUAUUGAGAGAAUAAUUGAUUGGAAUCUUAUUCCAAAUAACCUAGAGAUUCAUGGUAUGUGCUAGAUACAUUACUGGGAUAAGUCAGGUCAAGUUCCUGCUCACCAAUUACAGACCUGUACAGGUCUGCCAUUGCCACACAUCAGCAAUCGGUUCAACGUAAGGAUAUGGUGCCUCUAUUGCAUUACCGGAUUUCUGGUGAAUCAGGGUAAGACCAGAUGGUCUUCCUAUUCCUUCACAAGCUUUAUGUUGCAAUUCAGUCCCACAUCAUUCUAGUGUUUUCAUAUGAGCAUCGAGAAGAAUAUACUUUCAAACGUUUAGUCAUACAAUAUCAUGGACCUAAAAACCUGGAUCAUAUCAGACACCCUUUAAUAACAAUCCAUUUGCGCAAAACCUUCAAAAAUAAUUUGUUAUUAAUGACCAUGAUUUUGUCAGAAUAAUUAUUUUGAAAAUUUUAACUAACUGUGUGUAAAUACAUGUGUGUGUAUAUAUAUGUAGGUAUAUAUAUGUGUAUACAUAAAUGUACCUGUAUACGUAUAUGCAUGUAUAUAUUUAUUUAUCUAUAUAUGUAUAUAUAUUUAUAUAUGUAUGUAUCUAUAUAUGUAUAUGUAUGUUUAUAUGUAUAUGUAUAUGUAUGUGUGUAAAUAUGAAUGUGCCUGUGUGUAUGAUGAAGUCGGCUCACUUUGAGGUUGCGCCUUGUGCCUCUGUCGCACCUUUAACAAUGAUAAUGUCUAUGACCAUCCAUAGAUGGUGGUGGGGUUCUAAUGGACAUGUUUUGAUGGAAGAGUCAUGUUCUCCAUGAUGAAUGUUUCCUAGUUUUUAUGCUAUUUGUUGCUUGGCCCUAAUAUUUGAUUACAAAAAAGGAUAUUGGUAUAGAUAUUUACAAAAAGGGCGUUUCAUGAGGCUCCCGCCACUGUGGGGUCCAUGGAAGGUCAGAUGCAUGGAGCUUUUCCGUGUUUCGGACUAUCUGAUCAUGGGCUAGGCUUGGGCAUGGAAAAUAUCUUUAAAUAGGCCUGACCCGAUGCCUGAUUAAAAAUUAAUAUAGUUUAGGCUCAAGGCCCGGCCUAUGAUCAGCUCUAGUUCGAACCCGUGGGACCAAGAUCACAAUCGAGCAAUCUUAUUGUUGUGCCAAGGCUUGCCCUCACCGGUUUGGAUAUUUGUAUAAACCAAAAAUAUGCCCAUACAUGCAUUUGGUGCAAAUCAUUACAAAUAAGUGCAAGUUAACAAUUCCUAUAUGUUGUAGUAUACAAGAUCUGUGACCUGCUUCCAAAGUCCAACUCUGAAACCUAAUUUUGUGUCCAAAGCUUGAUAUCAUUUUGUUUCAGGCCAGGCCUGUUGAAAUAUAGGGAGAAGUAUAUUAUGUGACUAUAUUUCUAUCAUCUUCCAUCAACUUCUUUGCUUGAACCCACACUGCUGCUUUUUUUUUUUGGUUUGUUUUUGGACAUGUUCUAUGAUACAUCUUACUCCUGUUUGGUGCUCUUCCAACACUACAAGGUAUAAUUGGUAAGGGGUCAUCCACUUACAACUUCUGGAAUAUAGUAGAAUAUAAUAUGAUAUUACAACCUUGGAUAUGAAAUCCAAGAAUAAAGAAACCUGCAUGCAACGAGUACGCACUAUUUGCAGCUGGCUACUGAACUUAUGUCUCGUUUAGAUUGUGUCAUAUUUCUGGCUUCCAUCUUGUAUCAAAUAUAAAUGUGAUGAGCGGUGUUUUUAAGUUUUAAUUCUGGCAAAGCUGCUCAACGAUUCUGCUCCAGGUGGUUAUUCAACUUCCAAAAGAUAACAUAUUUAAAAUUUGUGAUGUAAUAAUUUAAGAAAAUCUUGACGAUGAUAUUAUUUGUUCUUAAUGGUCUGACCAUGCAUCUUCAGUAAACCUNNNNNNNNNNNNNNNNNNNNNNNNNNNNNNNNNNNNNNNNCCUCAUAUGAUGUUCAGAGUUUUGCAUUACUUACUGUCAGAUAAUGGUAUAUGUGCACUGGCAUUCUCAUGUACGUGGUUUGCCACCCCUGGGAGGGAUGAGAUUCAUUUGCACGAUUUCUUGUUUCUUACAAGACGGUCUUGAGCUGUUCUAGUGAUGGAACACUUGUUUUUAUUUCAUCAUCCUGUUCAUUAUACAAUGAAUCAUGACUAGGAUCUUGUCAUUAAAAAAAUACUUAAAGAAAUAAAAUAUGUAGAUUUUUUUGUUGUUCCAUUCCUGACCAUGGAUACAUCUCCCAUGUAGUUAUCCAGUUUAACUAUUUUGGGCCGGUCAAACGGAUCAUCCAGGCGUGCUGCUGUUUCUAGCACUGCAGAUGCGAUGAUAAUGGGCAGCGUGGUGGAACUAUCAUGCCCUCGCACCAGAGAAGCUAGCCCUGGAACUUUCCACAAAGUUUCAAGUGCUCAGAGAAGUUCCCCUGUCGCAUCAGCAGAGCAGAGGCACACUUCUUCUGGCAGGUACUUGUCUAAAAUCAAGAACUAUGAGUCUACUCUUAAAGGCAUUGAGCGCCUUAAUUUCAACAAUGAUGAAAGGCUUUUGUAGUGAGGCAGCUAAUGAGGUUCUGCAGUAUAUUGUUUUUCUUUCCAUAAAAUUCAAAAUCUGUAGGAUAAAGCAACCAGGAAACUUUCUUUUCUCAAGUUUGGUUGAAGAAAAAUAUUGCUACCAUGGGCAAGCACUCUUUAACUGCUGAUUCAGGAAAAUACCCCCUGAUAAAAAAAUGUUUUUUAAAAAAGGGGGUUUAAGGGGGUCUAAGGAGGUAUUAAGCCUCACUAUGCCAAGGCCUUAGAUAAGGCUUAGUCCAUAUGUGUACCGAGUUGCCCUGUGGCUCCUUUGUUUCUGUUUGUAAAUCUUGUCAUUUGUAUUACCGGUGAUGUUAUGUUUGUCAAUGGAAAGCCAUAGUCUGAAUUCAGGACUGUUUUUUUUGGUUGGAAAUGUUUAAUGCUAUUUGCAUUCGUAAUGUUACUUGUUUUGUACACCUACAUAAAGAGUAUGGAAGCUGGUUCUAAGAGCAAAGUGUAGUUCCCAAAUACUGCGGGGCAAUGUCCUUGAAUUAUUGCAAGUGGCGAGAAAAACUUGGGAUGCAAGGCUUUCAAGGGUCAUAUAUAUUGUAUUGGAUUGAGACCAUUAUAUUUGCAGUUCCAAGUUUGGUGUUGUGAAAACUGAAUGAAUUGUUAUUCAAAGUGUUGAUUUCAAGCUUCUUGUGAAUAAAGAUUUUUUAGAUACUAUGUCUUAGUGUUUUUUUUCUGUUUUUCUUUUUUUUUCUAUUUAUCGGACGCUAGCAAUUGAAGGGCGAGGCGCAUGGUUCUCUGAGAAGAGCGUUGGCCAAAUGCCGAUGACAGGCUCUUGGUUUGGCAGUGUGAUCUGGGAGGUCCCGGAGGGCACUCUGCAGUGUCUUUGAUCUUGACUCGAAAGUACUGACGCCUUAGAAAAUCUCUCCAAAGGCAGAGGGAAAGCCAAUUCUUGAGACCUUUUAAGAUAACAUUAACAUUCAUUAUCGGAUUAAUAUGACAACACAACUAUUCCAAGAGAUGAUUAAUUUCAAGGAAAUAACUAAUUGUUCUCACCUGCAUGAUAAAAAUAUUCCAUAUGCAUGAUAUUACAAGGUAGCUGUAUAUGCAUUAAUUUAUUUUUAUCAUUUGAUGAAUGCAAUGAAUGCAAUUUUUUUGUAAUGAUUAUUUUAUGUUUUAGUGUACUAAUUAUAUCUAUUAAAUGAUAAAAAUAUUCUUAUACAUAUUGAACUGCAACGUAUGGAAGCAUUAUUACUAUUUACAAGUGGGAACAAAAGUGACAACAAAAUAGCCGUCCCCCUUGUUCCGUCUCGAGUGCAAUUAUAAAGACCGCUUUCUUCAACGGAAAGGCCAGGAUCUGCGCCAUACCAACAAAUUAUUUCUGGGCAACGACAAGCUACAGAAAAAUAUUUACAGUAUGUGCCUGAUGUUUUGUAGUCCUCCUUCUGGAUCUCUAAGGGUUGGGACUUGUUUUGAUGGAUUCUAGUUUUGGUUAUAUGCAUUUCAGAGGGAUUGGCAACAUCGUGGAAGAAAANNNNNNNNNNNNNNNNNNNNNNNNNNNNNNNNNNNNNNNNNNNNNNNNNNNNNNNNNNNNNNNNNNNNNNNNNNGAUGUGCAGUUAUUGAAACUUGAAACACCAAAUAGUACAAAAGUAGACCCAUAACCAUCUGAAGCAUCUGAUGAAACUACUACUAGUAUAACAAUCCAUUGCCAAAUUAAUUCUGGAUUUCUUUCUUACCACCCAGUGACACUUCAGAAUCCAAAUAUCUCAACAAAAUCAAUUUAUCAAGUGAACAAUGAGCUGGCAUGACAGGAACUAUAUCUUUUCUGACAGACAUAAGCCAAACCAACCCCAAGAUUUUCACUAGGGGGCUCUAUCAAUGUAGUAAUGUCGGGUAGUCAGGCCCUUCUCUGCAUCCCCUAUCAUCUUGGAAAUCAAAUGCACGUCAGAUGAUAAGAAAGAACAAUUAGAUACACCAAUUUAUUGCAAGAGUGACAUUUUAGUACACAUUAUCAAAGCAGAAUGUCAAAUAAAAGACUGUUGACACAAAAUGAUAAAGUCAAACGCAAAUCAAAACAACUACUAUUGUGGUGGGCUUACCAGCCGGAUCGGCCGCUUCUUCUUGGAAAGAGGUGGGAUAUCAGCCAGAUUGGCCGCUUCUUUAGAAUGUACUUGGCCGAGAGGGUGCAGUCUUUUGAGUUUCCAGAGUGCAGUACUCCUGAUGUGAAAGUAUGGAGUACUACAUGCAGUCCGAGAGUCAGAGUAAGGAAUCUUUUUGGCCUCUUCAAAGGAGAGCAGACUCAUAAACGUGAUUGUGCAUGAAUUUGGAAGUUAAGUAUUCACCCGAGAGUUGCUCUGCUUUUUUGGAAGAUGACUUAAGGACACCUUCCGACCAGGGCUGUCUUGAGCAGACGCGAGUUGAGCAUUCCACGGACUUGCCCCUGCUGCUAGGUGGAGGAGUCUGUUGAUAAUGUCCUCUUUUGGUGUGGGAGAGCGGAGCGAGCNNNNNNNNNNNNNNNNNNNNNNNNNNNNNNNNNNNNNNNNNNNNNNNNNNNNNNNNNNNNNNNNNNNNNNNNNNNNNNNNNNNNNNNNNNNNNNNNNNNNNNNNNNNNNNNNNNNNNNNNNNNNNNNNNNNNNNNNNNNNNNNNNNNNNNNNNNNNNNNNNNNNNNNNNNNNNNNNNNNNNNNNNNNNNNNNNNNNNNNNNNNNNNNNNNNNNNNNNNNNNNNNNNNNNNNNNNNNNNNNNNNNNNNNNNNNNNNNNNNNNNNNNNNNNNNNNNNNNNNNNNNNNNNNNNNNNNNNNNNNNNNNNNNNNNNNNNNNNNNNNNNNNNNNNNNNNNNNNNNNNNNNNNNNNNNNNNNNNNNNNNNNNNNNNNNNNNNNNNNNNNNNNNNNNNNNNNNNNNNNNNNNNNNNNNNNNNNNNNNNNNNNNNNNNNNNNNNNNNNNNNNNNNNNNNNNNNNNNNNNNNNNNNNNNNNNNNNNNNNNNNNNNNNNNNNNNNNNNNNNNNNNNNNNNNNNNNNNNNNNNNNNNNNNNNNNNNNNNNNNNNNNNNNNNNNNNNNNNNNNNNNNNNNNNNNNNNNNNNNNNNNNNNNNNNNNNNNNNNNNNNNNNNNNNNNNNNNNNNNNNNNNNNNNNNNNNNNNNNNNNNNNNNNNNNNNNNNNNNNNNNNNNNNNNNNNNNNNNNNNNNNNNNNNNNNNNNNNNNNNNNNNNNNNNNNNNNNNNNNNNNNNNNNNNNNNNNNNNNNNNNNNNNNNNNNNNNNNNNNNNNNNNNNNNNNNNNNNNNNNNNNNNNNNNNNNNNNNNNNNNNNNNNNNNNNNNNNNNNNNNNNNNNNNNNNNNNNNNNNNNNNNNNNNNNNNNNNNNNNNNNNNNNNNNNNNNNNNNNNNNNNNNNNNNNNNNNNNNNNNNNNNNNNNNNNNNNNNNNNNNNNNNNNNNNNNNNNNNNNNNNNNNNNNNNNNNNNNNNNNNNNNNNNNNNNNNNNNNNNNNNNNNNNNNNNNNNNNNNNNNNNNNNNNNNNNNNNNNNNNNNNNNNNNNNNNNNNNNNNNNNNNNNNNNNNNNNNNNNNNNNNNNNNNNNNNNNNNNNNNNNNNNNNNNNNNNNNNNNNNNNNNNNNNNNNNNNNNNNNNNNNNNNNNNNNNNNNNNNNNNNNNNNNNNNNNNNNNNNNNNNNNNNNNNNNNNNNNNNNNNNNNNNNNNNNNNNNNNNNNNNNNNUGUCAGAUGAUAAGAAAGAACAAUUAGAUACACCAAUUUAUCGCAGGGGUGACAUUUUAGUACACAUUAUCAAAGCAGAAUGUCAAAUAAAAGACUGUUGACACAAAAUGAUAAAGUCAAACGCAAAUCAAAACAACUACUAUUGCGGUGGGCUUACCAGUCAGAUCGGCCGCUUCUUCUUGGAAAGAGGUGGGAUACCAGCCAGAUUGGCCGCUUCUUUGGAAAGUACUUGGCCGAGAGGGUGCAAUCUUUUGAGUUUCCAGAGUGCAGUACCCCUGAUGUGAAAGUAUGGAGUACUACAUGCAGUCCGAGAGUCAGAGUAAGAAAUCUUUUUGGCCUCUUCAAAGGAGAGCAGACUCAUAGACGUGAUUGUGCAUGAAUUUGGAAGUUAAGUAUUCACCCGAGAGUUGCUCUGUUUCUUUGGAAGAUGACUUGAGGACACCUUCCGACCAGGGCUAUCUUAAGUAGACGCGAGUUGAGCAUUCCACGGACUUGCCCCUGCUGCUAGAUGGAGGAGUCUCUUGAUAAUAUCCUCUUUUGGUGUGGGAGAGCGGAGCGAGUGUGGAGAUUGACCACCAUCCCUUCGAAGGUGCUCAAUAUGACGACCAUGGCUGACUCCUUCCUUCAGUUCUUGAGGAGUUGGUUAGGUAGGUCUCACCUCAAAUCCGAGGCAGUUAUGGCUACAUAUAUUACCUACUAUAUUUGGAUAGCUAGGAAUACCUGAAUUUUUAGGAAAAGCAGUCCACCACCGAGGAUAGUCCUGGAGAAAGCUUGGGUGCAAGCUACUGAGAUCAUCCACUCAGAUCUUUUUGGAGAACCUAAGAUAACUCGGGGCACCUGGGACUCUAUCUCUACUCUUGUAGCAUCUCAAAUAGUGUUUAUCACUUGGGAGUUCCCACCCUCGAGUUUUCUCAAAAUUAACUUCGAUGGAUGUAUGAUGGAUGGUGGCAAGAGGGAUUGAGGGGAGCUCAGACUCCAGACUUGUUGCAGCUGGCGGGAGCACGAUUUUCAAUAUCUCAAUUCCUGGAGCAGAGUUAGGGGCAGCAUGGGCCGCCUCUGCCAUGCCCGGCGUAUUUUGACAACUGAUACCAAUUUGAUAAAAGGUGACUCGGCCACAAUGAUUGGCUGAAUCCAAGGAUGAGUGAGGGAGGAAUGCACCUACCCCCUGCUUUAGGUCGUCUGGAGUUUGGCGAGAGGAUGCUUUUUUUUUGGGACGAGGCACAUCUACCAGGAGGCGAAUAGAGACGAAUUGGAUGGCUUCCUUGUCGUCGAUCACUCUGAUGGAGUUCUCUAGAUCGGUGAGGCGCAAAUAACAAGGGUUUUUGAGAAUCUCUUGUUUGUAGAUUUUCUUGAAUGUAUUUAUGCCAGAGUAGCGUGGAUCGCCCAUCUUAACAAAAAAAAACAACUACUAUCAUAUGAAUAUAAGUUGCACAUACAUAUGAAUGGAAUCAUAGAUAAAAUCUCAAAAAAGUUAACAUGGAUAAAAUCAGAAAAGUAAUCAUGUACAAGAAAGACAAAUUUCAGGUUCACAUGCUGGUACGAUCAAAACUUCUAGUGCAUUCAAAAUCUAGCCAACAAGAAUUAAUUAUGAGCUUUAUAUACCAACUCAACCUGCAUGUACUAGUUAUUUUAUUCAUAAAUCUCAUUUACCAUCCUUCCAUGGCAUAAUUUGUGACAAUUCUACUUUUAAGACAUGUUUUCAAAUGCAAGUUGAGCAUCCCACGGACUUGCCCCGGCUGUGAGCUGGAGUCUGUUAAUCAUGUUCUCUUCCAGUGCAGGAGAACAGGGCGUGUGGAGAUUGACCACCAUCCCUCCGAAGGUGCUCCAUAUGACAACCAUGGCUGACUCCUUCCUUCAGUUCCUAAGGAGUUGGUUCGGUAGGCCUCACCUCAAAUCCAAGGCGGUUAUGACUGCAUAUGUUACCUACCACAUAUGGAUAGCCAGGAAUACCUGGAUCUUUGAAAAGAGCAUUCCACCACCAAGGAUAGUCUUGGAGAGAUCUCAAGCGCAGGCUACUGAAAUCAUCCACUCAAAUCUUUUUGGAGAAUCUAUGAUAAUUUGGGGCACCUGAAACUUUACCUAUGCUCUUGUAGCGUCUUGAAUGGUGUUUAUCACUUGAAAGCCCCCAUCCUCGAGUUUUCUCAAAGUCAUCCUCGAUGGAUGUAUGAUGGAUGGUAGCAAGAAAGGUGGAGGAGAGCCCAGACUCAAGACUUAUUGCAGCUGGCGGGAACCCGAUCUUCAAUAUCUCAGUUUUUGGAGCAGAGUUGAGAGCAGCCUAGACCGGCCUUUGCCACGCCCGACACAUUUUAAGAGUCAACGUCAAUUUGAUGGAAGGUGACUCAACCACGGUGACUGGUUAGAUCCAAGGACAAGUGACGGAGGUAUGCACUUAACCCCUACUUCAGGACAUCUGGAGUUUGGCGAGAGGAUGCAUCUCUUUUGGGACGAGGCACAUCUACCACAAGGCGAAUAGAGAAGCGGAUUGGAUGGCUUCCUUUGUGGCUAAUUAGUCCGGUUAAGUUCUUUGGUACAGUGAGGCGCAAAUGCAAGAGCUUUUCAGAUACUGUUGUUUUCUGAUUUUUUUGAAUGUAUUCAUACUAGAGUAGUGUGAAUCGCCUAUCUUAGCAAAAAAAAAAAAACUACUAUAAUAUGAAUAUAAGUUGCACAUACAUAUGAAUGGAAUCAUAGAUAAGAUCUCAGAAAAGUUAACAUGGAUAAAAUAAAAAAGUAAUCAUGUAUGAGAAAGACAAAUUUAAGGUUCACAAGAUGGUAUGAUCAAAACUUCUAGUAAGCUCAAAAUCUAGCCAGCAAAAAUUAAUUGCGAGCUUUAACCAACUCAACCUCCUGUACUAGUUAUUUUAUUCAUAAAUCCCCUCUACCAUCCUCCUAUGGCAUAGUUUGUGACAAUUCUACCUUUGAAGACAUGCUUCCAAAUGCCUUUAUGUCUCAUUUAAAUAUUUUUGGAUUUUAGCAUUGUGGCUCUAAUCUAUGUCUAUGCUAGUUCAUAUUACAAAAGGACCUAGCAUAAUAAGAUAAAAGCUUCAAACAUAUAGAAAGAAACUAAACAUCAUUACACACGAACUCGAAGGUAGAAUACAUCAACUGCUAGCGUAAAAAAGAAUACAAAGGCACAGAUAAAUGGAGAAAAAUGUUUGCAUUUGAACAGAAGGAAAUGCGAGAAUAUUCACUCACAAACCUGAGGGAAGAAUGCUCUUGACAAAGCAAAGGGGUUGGUAUGACUAAAUCUUUCCAACCAACUGGACAUUUACCCCUUCUUUUACUGUUAUCUGCUUCUUCAUUACACAGAACUCCAAGGUAGAAUACAUAAAGGAGCAGAUAAUUGGAGAAAAAGGUUUGUUUUUGAACAGAAUGAAAUGCGAAAAUAUUCAAUCACAAACUGGAGAGUGGAAUGUCCUUGACAAAGCAAAGGGGUUGGUAUGGCUAAAACUUUCCAACCAACUGGACAUUUAUCCCAUCUUUUACUGUUAUCUGCUUCAGCUCUAUGAGCGGCACACCCAAACUCUGAGCUGAAUAAAGUAACACAAGCAAGUCUGUCUGUCCACUUGGAAGAAUUUAAUAUGGCAGAAGUAUGGCCUUGCAUCAACAAUCACACAGUAGAUCACUAGCUAGUCAUUGGGGAAUAGAAUGUGGAUUUGUAUGAUAAAAACUUACUAGUCAUCAGGACAUGAGAAAGAUUAAACAUACAAAAUAACUAGCAUGAAGGAAAUAUCAUUACAAAAGGUCAUAAACUCCCACCAACACCUAAUUGCUUUUUCUGGUUCUCGGAAGAAGAGCUGAACAGGUUCUCUCUCCUUGUUCUCUAUACUGGAAACACUUCAAAUAACAGAACUCCAACCAACAAAGUGAUGAAAAGCGUUAAGAAAAACAAACUGAGAAACAAAAAGAAAGAAGAACCUCAUCAGGAAAUAUAAUACAUUGCUAAAAAUCUCUUUUCAGCUUAAAGAGGAGUGAACCAAGAAAGGUUAAGAGUAAAAAAUGGAAGCAAUACGAUAAGCCACAUAUACCUGAGCCAUAUCAGAGGCCAUGUCCUCUGUCCCGUCUUCCUCUUCAGAAGAGCAUAGCAAAGGGAUCCCUAUCAUCGCCUCCAUUAGCCGCCUUCUUCAAACUUACUAGUCAUCAGGAAAUGAGAAAGACAAAACAUAUAAAAGUAAUAAGCAUUAAGGAAAAAUCAUUACAAAAGGUCAUAAACUUCCACCAACACCAACUUGCUUUUUUUGCUAAAACACCAACUUGCUUUCUCUGAUUCUUGAAAUAAAAGCUGAACAGGUUCUCUCUUCUUGUUCUUUAUACUGGAAACACUUCAAAUAAUGGAACUCCAACCAACAAAGUGACCAAAAGCAUUCAAAAAAACAAAACAAGAAACAAAAAGCAGGAAGAACCUCAUCAAAAUAUAAUACGCUGCUAAAAAUCUCUCCUCGGCUUAAAGAGGACAGAACAAGAAGAAAUUAGUGAAGGGAUCGCUCUCCUCUCUUCUUCUUCUUCAAGAAUAACCUCAUUAGGAAAUAUAAUACAUUGCUAAAAAUCUUUCAUCAGCUCAAUGAGGAGCGAACCAAGAAGAGAAUGGUGAAGGUAUCCCUCUCCUCCUACUUCUUUUCUGCUUCUCCUCCUCCAAAUUCUUCCCCUUAAAAAAAACUCAACAACUAAACAAAUCAUAAAGUCAUAGCCAGUAGACCAGAAGAUUGGUUUGGUUUUUCUAAAUCGCAGCAUACCAUGUUAUCCUUUUCCCACCAUGUGCUUAUGCAAGAGUAGAGCUAUCAGAACAAUCUAGAGCUUGCGAAAGGUGAAGUUUUCAUUUCACAUUUAAUAACAAAAACGAUGAGUUGCCAUGAGAUGGUUGAAAGUAGUAUUUCUUAUUAAACCUCGAUCCAAUACAAAGUUUACAAUGAACUAUGUCUACAUACAUGUGGCAGUGGGGGAGAAUGUAGUGAUUUGAUGUAUGACCCAAGGAUAUUAUCUGCCAAAAAUUCAGAUUAAUACACUUCCUCUUUCAAUCUGUCAGAGUUCUGUGCUCAUGUAUCCUUCACCACCACUUGGAAACAUUGUAACAAUCAUCUUCCCUUUGUUUUCCUCUCUACUUGCAGCCUCUAAACAUUUCAGUCAGAAGAACAGUAAGGAGUCAAACUGUGAAAAAUGGAUAACAGGAUCUGCAGGAAAUGAUAAAAUCAACCCUUAAACUAGCUUCUAAACUGGCAUAUAUGCUGAUAAGCAAGCCUCCAUUCAAGUUCAAGUAAGUUGUGGUCUGCUUUCUUACCAGUCAGAAACAUUUGGCACCCAUAUACCUCAACAAAAUCCAUUUAUCAAGUAAAAAAUGAGCUGGCAUAACUGCAACGAACCUGUAACCUUUUUGAACAGCAAUGAAUGUGAAACUAAUCCCAAGAUUUCCGCUAGCUGGUUCUACUAAUGUUGUAAUACCAGGUGUAAUCAGGCCCUUUUUUCCGCAUUUUCUAUCAUUAUGCAAAACAAGACUUCAUACAACAAAAAAGAGCACCUAGUUACAUCCAACCAAUAGCAGCAGAGGCACUUCAAUAAACAUUUGCAACCAGAAAGUGCUUGUCCCUCCCUUAAUUGAAGCUUUUGUUAUAUUUUCUAGAUUUCACUGCAUUCAACCACCUUAUGAUUUCUCUCACUCAGUUCACUCGAUAGUACAUUAUUCCGAUAUAAUUUGUUAAUUUCCAAUGGAUUGCUGAAACAAAAGGAGGCAGAAUAUGUAUUAUAUCACACCUAACAGUGUUGCAUUUAUGUCUGACAUAGCCUUCAUCAUCAUGAACGUAAGCUCUUGAACCAGAAAGUGUCUUCAAAACAUUUUAGACGAUGACAUGCAAGUCUUCUCUACCCUUCUUCUUUUUCGUGAAGGUAAAUUUCCUUCAGGAUAGCGUGAUUCAUGGCCUGAGAAAUAUAUGACAAAUCAUCAAAAUUAACUAUCCAUAUUUAAUUUCUAUUUAUGCUGCACCCUUGAUCUCCGCUAAUGUAAUCCUUUUCAACCUUAUUUUUCUUGGUUUUAUAAUGUUAACAAUUCAGCUUUCUCACUGCUUUCUAACAAUUCAGCUUUCUCACUGCUUUUCCACUCCCCCUCUCCAUUCUUCGUUUCAAGGUAGUGAAGAUGCUCUGUCGAGGGAAUCUCUAGACUAAAUUUUUAUUGUAUUUUAGACCUCAACUCUAAGGUAGAUGCAAAAGAGUUGCAUGUUUAAUAGCUUGUAUGUAACUAAUGUUCAGAAAAACACCAACUAGCACUGAAAAAUCCAUAAAGUCUCCACAAGUACUUUAUGCAUGUUUUCUGGUUUUGACAACUCUCCAUUAAAUUUGAAUUACAAAUAGUGACCAAAGAGGGUAAGAACAGAGGGGAAAAAAAAAUAAAGGUUUGCAUGGUUCACCAAGAUUGUCUAUGCUAUUGGUCUUCAACUUCUCACCAGCAUCCCAAUCAUUAUGGCAAACAUUUUCUUUCUUUUUUUUUUGACAAGACGGGUGGACUAAAUCACCCUAGAAUAGAUACAACUCAAGGGGUCCGAGUACAAAAUAUCCCAAACAUGAGAAGAGGUCAAAGACAAGUUGGCCUAGAUUUUUAAGUCAGUAGAAUUCACAAAAAGGUUCCAGACACUCUAUAACCACCUUUUAUUCCUACAUUUCUGGUCAUCUUAAAAUGCUAGUGCACUUUGUGUGAUUCAAGGCAUACAAGAUUUUGAAUGAACUCAGGUGCUAUCUGAUUUAUAAGGAUCUAGAAUACUGGAAACACGUAAAAGAAAGGUCUCAAUAGAAAAACUAGAAUCAGAACAUUAGAAGAAUAACUAGAGCUUAUCUUUGCAACGUCAAAACUCAAAAGCAAAUGGAAUGACAAUUCAUGAAAUGUAACCUUGUGGACCUGCCACUUUUUGCUCCAAAAAAAAGUGCAAAGAAGAUAAAUUGGUUGUCAAAGUCAUGAAAUUUUUAAUCUUUUAACCAACAUAUAACUAGUAAAUAUGCUCUGCAUAAAGGACAUUUAAGUAUUAAGAGUAAGGUGAUGUCUCAUUGGGGAAAAUUCUGAAACAAUUUCUGCCAUACAACAUGAAAGUUGAUAAUAGUUUCCUUUAAUCUUGUUUAAUUAUCCCUGGAAUGUUUAACAGCUUGGCUUUAAUUUAGAUCUACAUACCACUGGUUCGGACCGCAAGAGGACCUAAGAUAAGAUAAAGGCUUCAAAUACACAUUAGAAAAACAAACAUCACAGAUGAAAUUCCAAGCUAGAACCAUGUGCUACAAAAACAAUAACAAAGACUAGAAAGAAAGUGGUCCCUAGAGAAAAAGAAUAGGUAGAUUAUUCACUCGCAAAAACAAUAACAAAGACUAGAAAGUGCCCCCCCCCCCCCCCCAAAAAAAAAAAAGAAAAAAAGAAUAGGUAGAUUAUUCACUCGCAAAUAUGAGAGCAGCACGAUCCUUAACAGGGGAAAGAGGUUGGGUAUGAUACAAUCUUUCCAACCAACCAAAGUCUAUUCCUCUUGUAUCAUGAUCUUUUUCAGUUCUAUGAGUGAUGUCCAACCGACAAGCUGGAUGAAGUAACAAAUAUGGUUGCAUUUCUCGGGUUGAAACAAAUAAAUGGCAGAAAUAUGGACUGGCAGAUUAAAUCAAACAAUAGAUAACAAGGUAAUGGGAAAAAGUUUUUGCUUUCUGUUCAUAGAUUACAAGAAUUACUCAUCAUUCUUAGGUGGUUUCUUUUUGUGAUUAUUUUUAGAUAAGACCUAGGGAAAAAUAAAUCUCUUCUACAUGUACUAGAUAAUCUUCUUUUGUAUAUGCACACUAAUUUUAAAAGUUACGGUUCUACUAAUCUGAAUGGAAUGUGAAUUGUUAAUGAAACAAAAUCAACAAAAAAUCACAAGCCUCGAGGAAAUGAGAAAGACAAAAGAGAUAUAGUAGUUAGCUGCAUAAAAGCAGGCUAAUAAAAUGUAGAUAACUUGAAAAGGGCUCAAUAAGAUGAUGUUAUAUUCUGUGAAAUGUCUAGGAUACAUAUGCAUACCACAAAUUUUUAUAUCUGAUGGAGAAAUAUGCAUGUAAAUGAAAGCAUGCACAAACACAUGUAAUUGUAAAAGCUUCAUAUGAUGAAAAACCUUAGACCAUUUUAGUACAUUCAGAUAGGAUACAAGCAAGGUUAUAUUACAUAUAAUAAAAUCAAAUUAGGAAAAUAUCACAAAAAAUAAUAUGUAUUUAAUUUUCUUUUCCACUUUCAAAUAGCUCAAUCUAGGAAUUCCUUAAAUUCCAACUUGAACCAUAUAUUUUGUGUAUAAAAUUUUCACCAUAAAAUAAAUUACAAUAAAAAUGCUGUCUGAAGGUCCAAUCUAUUUUCUAAAAAGUACAAAUUAUCUAUCUAUCCAUAUCUCUAGAUUUUUAUUUUCUUCUACUUAGAAAAUAUUGAUCUGAGCCUCUAAAAUAUACAUCCAGAGAUUUUCAUAAUUUAGAAUACAUCCCCAUGAACGAACUUGGAAGAGCGUGGCCUUUGGGACAAGACAAUUAACCAAUUUCAUUUUCUUCCAAAAUAAAGAGACCCAAAUUUUGCUUACCAAGGCACCUCUGAAAUAGAUUAUGUGCUAGGGAUAUCCCUAAAGCUCAGAACUGAGAUACCUAAUUUUCAAGAGAAAGAACAUCGUAAAAGGUUCUCUUACUUCAUUCCUUUGUUCGACAAAGGAUUCAAGUCAAGAAACCCCCUUUAACCAACAUAGAAGCAGAACAUCUAUGAUCAAUUGCACUACUUCACGGGAAGAGGAUCAAACUUCUUUAUGAGUUUUUAAAUUUCUAAUUGCCAUCGAUUUUCUGAUGUGCUCACUACCUGCUCUCCAAGAGUCAUGCUAGGUGUACCCAAUGAAUCUUUGUUUAGCGAAUAACCCUCAUAAAUUAAGCUCACAACCCAAAAGACAUCUGAAAAUCGGAGGACAAAUAUGAAUGACACAAAGAAAAAUAGCAAAAAUAUCAAGAAAGUAAAAUCCUGAAAAGGAGAUCACAAGGCAAGCCUUAUCUCAUCUCUUGUUCCUUUUACAGGAAGCAAUUAAAAUCAAGAAUGCCCUUUAAUCGAGCAGACCCCGACCAUUAAUGGCUAAACCAUGCCCUUUAGUGCCAAAAAAAAAAGAAGAGGAAUCAAACUUUUCGAUCAGUUUUAAACUCUUGAUCGCAUUCAAAAAACUUCAAUGCGCCCGCUAGCUACCCUUUAUUCAAAGACUCCUCCACUGCGCCGACCCCAAAAGUAUCUGAAAAUAGGAAAAGAACAAAAAGAACCCAUGAUUGCCACCAAGAAAAGGAACAAAAAGCAUCAAGAAAAGAAAAUCCCAAAAAAAUGGAACAUAGAAACAGCUUUCUCAUCUUAAUUUUUUUAUUAUCGGAAAAAAAUAAACAAAAAUCAAGAAACCUAAUACCAGUUCUAAACUCUUAGCGAGAGUCUAAGAAAACCAAGAAGCGGAGAGCAAUAAGUCGCGUUAAGAAUCAAAAAACCAAGAAACGGAAAAACAAGAACUCGCAUCGCCAAACAAUACGCAUGCAUCGCUAAAUUCCUCAUCAGCCUAGACUUCAGACCAAAUUAAGGCCUCGAAAAGGGAAGCGAACCAAGAAAAGAUCAAUCGCAGAUCGCCUUGCGAAAGGGAAGAAAUUAUUAGCGACGGAAGACCUUCCCUCGCCCCUUCCACUCCUUUUUCUCUUCCUCCGUACUUUGGCUCUCCGAAUCGGGUCGGGUAGCUUAAUAAAUGAUCGCUCCGCCUGGGCUCACCCGUUUCAAGAACCCAUGCCGCAAUUCGGGUCAAGUACAAAAUAACUGAAGCCAGCAUUUUUUCCUUUUAAUGCGUCUGAUAAAAGCAAAGGAAAAAGAGAUGGUCCAAAGGUCUAAAUGAAGGCUUGCAACAAAAAAUCCAAAUAAAGAAGAAAAAAAAGGGGCAAAAGAAUGAAUGGCAGAGGAAAAAAAAAAAGAAGUCAGGCAUGGAGGACUGGACUAGCUUGCUAUUUAGAUGGGUCUGUCUAUGAUGAAGGCACGAGAGAGGGCACGGAUUUUGUUAUUCGGAAUCCAGAUGCCGGGUUGUGGCCGCUGGGGACAGUUAGUUAUUCGACAUCUCGGUUUCCGGUACUGAGUUGAGAGCCGCAUGGGCGGCCUUCGUUAUGCCCGGCACGGCUUACGAACCAGCUCUAUUAUUCUAGAUGGGGACUCGACCAUAGUUAUUAGUUAAAUUUAGGAGGGCUCUAGGGGUGACGGCAGUGACCACCCACUGCUCUAUAACAUUUGGGCUAUGGCGAGGGGAGGUUUUUCAGGCCAAGCAUACCUUCUAAGAAGCUAAUGGGGCUGCGGAUUGGGUAGCUACUUACAUGGCCAGUCACUCCGGAGGUAUCCUGUGGGCUGGAGUCGGUGAGAUACCCCGAGCACUUCAGAGCAUUUUGUUUUUUUUAUUGGGUGCAUUCAUACUCGUUAGUAUGAUCCAUCCACUCCAGCAAAAAAAAAAGGAAGAUUUUCUUUAGUUAGGAAGAGCGAGAGUGAGUUUAUCAAUCAUCCGUGGAAUCAGAUGCAAGUAUGAGAUGGUAGGCUAGGCAAAGGUCCUAUGCAUAGGAAGGUUUGGAUGAUUGGCCAAAAAUAGACCAAAGAGAAAUAUAGAGAGCUUAAGUUUAGAAGCUUAAGUCCAGGAUAAUAAAUCUAUAUAGCACUUCUUUUAUUAGUUAAUAAAGGACUAUGACAAUUUUUUCCACCUCAUCUUGUGAUAUCCUCGUCAUGAUUAGCUUCUACUCGAGAGAGGAGGCCCAUCAAUGGCAUGGAUCUUACUAGGUCCUCCUCAUAAGACUGAUAAAGGUCGUGAUGCAUAAUUGGCCUGACUUUGAUACUAUUUGUUAAGAAUUCACAGUCCAAAAUCUUAAGAUGUUGAGAGAAGGAUCGAAUUAGGUUAAUACAUGCAUAUGACACCCAUUUUAUUAGUCAAUUUGAAACUAUGACACAUGGAGAAAAUGAUUUAGGGGUGAGAGGUAUUAAUGUAAUAAUACUUAGGGGGAAGCCAUAAUUGUCAGGGGUGUGGAAUCGAGGCCCCUAUCUAACUGCAAUAUUUAUUAACCUAAAUUGUUACCCAUAUAAGUGAGUCUCCUUUCUUUUUUUUCUCUUGUCUGAUGUGGGACAAAAGGAGAGGUAUGAAUUUUAAUGUUAGAAGCCUCUCUUCGACAUUCAAUUGAUCAAAAAUAAAAUUUCAUCCCCUCCAACCAGUUCUUGAACAUCUAAGCCAGCAGCUGGGGCUAGAACAAGGAAGUUUGACAGGUUUGACUCUCCCCCUUCGUUAAAUCGAUAGAAAAAACCUAAAAAUAAUAAUAUAUAAUAAAUAAAAAAUAUAAUAUAUUCUAAUAUUAUGAUUUUAAUGUUAUCUAUAGAAACCAUCCAUCAUCUAUCCAAGUGCAUCUUUUAGGUUGUAGCGACAUGGCUCAAGACCUUCUAAUUUAUAAUUGAGAUGGUCCAAUUGUGCAUUUAUUCAAAGUUGCUUGCUGGUCAUUUAACAAGACAAAGAUUACAUUGAAAAAUAAGAAUCCAAGAUUAUAUCGACUCAACUAGUUGUUGAGAUUGGCAUGCAUGGCCAUGAUAAUUAUGGCUCCAAGUGGUGAUUUUCAUAGUUCAAAAAGCAUUUUCCCAACAAAAUGUACAGGCACAAACCUUAUCAAAAGCAUGACUAAAACCGGACUGGAUAAGAAUCGGAUAGUAAUAUAUUCAUAUUCAUAUUUAUUUUAUUUGAUGAAUACAGAUAUGAAUAUAGAUGCUAGUUGAAUGCAAAAUUCACAUCCUUAUUUGUUAAACGGAUACAAUUAUAAAUCAAAUAGUGGAAGCAUGGAUAUAAUAUGGAUAUAAGUUGGAUAAUUAAACUUCAUAACCAUAAAAUCAAAGAUGUUAUUAAGUGGAGAUAAAUCAAGUUAAUAGUAUAUUAAUAUGAUCAUUUACUUUCUUAAAAGUUUAUGAAUGUUAUAGAAAAUUAAAUAGAAUUAUAACCGAACAGUUGUCUAUCCAUAUCCAUAUUUAUUUUUUUAUGGGUAUGGAUAAGAUUAUAAAUAUUAGUCAAAUACUCAAAUUUUUAUCUAUAUUUGAAUAAAAUCGGAUGAAACAUGGAUGCAAACAUAUGUUAUCCGGUCUAUUUUCAUCCUUAAUCAAAAACGUACGUUAUGAAACAUGCUAAUAUAUCCCCGAAACAAAUCCAUAGGACUAUCUCUCAUGGGGAUGUGAUCAGCUAAUAAGGCCAAAACCAGGCAACAUGAGAAUCUCGCCCCUUCAAUUUUGGCAUUCAUACCUACAAUAUUAUUAAUUAGUUUUCGUAAUUAGUUACUACGUAUUAGUCAUGCCCAACAUCAUUUGGAUGGAGAAAGAUAUAUUUUUCAAGAACCACAUGCGCCAAAAAAAAAAAAAAAGAAGUUGGCCAUGAGAGCCAGAGAAAGAAUAUGUUAUGCUAUACGCACCUCUCGGUGAGAACUUAGAAGCAGUGCACCGAUGCUUCCAUCCAACCACCCAAGCCGGCAGCCUGCCUCUCGUUCCGACAAACAACGAAAUAAACAUCCAACCGAAGUACGGGCUUUUUGAAAGAGAAAGCACAAUGGGUGGCUAUGGAGAGAACGCCGGUCCAAAUCAAUAAGGCCAGGGCAAGAUGCUCUUUUUGAGAGGCUGGAGGGAGGUGACUCUAAAAGGAGGCGAUUCUAACUCCGGCGCCCCUAGUUGAUUUCACCGUCCUAUAUAUUUUAGAGUGCAGGGCUGCCAUCAGCCGAGCCCUGUGUGCGUCUUUCCCUCUAGCUCUUUGUUUGUUUGUUUGGUGUGGGCAAGAGCCAGGAUGGAGAUGGAGAUGGAGAUGAGCCUCGGAGGAGGCAUGGAGUCAGGGGCAGCGUAUCUCUUCACGUUGGUGGCUUUGGUUGUGGGGUUCUUGGUGUACUUCUAUGCUCCCUACUGGGGGGUGAGGAAGGUGCCCGGACCUCCCACCACCCUCUUGGUUGGGCACCUUCCCUUGCUCGCCAAGCAUGGACCAGAUGUGUUCAGUAUCCUCGCCAAGACUUAUGGUCCCAUCUACAGGUAUAUGAUGCUCCCUCCUUAAUUCACUCCCUCCUCCACUACCUCCUCCUCUCUAUAUCUGCCUUUGUUUGCGUUUGUGUUAUGGUCUUCCUCUCUUGGAAAUUGGAUCAUUUAUUUUUGAGGGAGAAGAAAAAAGGAGGAACUAUUGUACACUUUUGUAUCCUUUCCUUUCUUUAGCCUGUGAGCAAGUCUGGAAUGAGUGAUAAACAAGGGGUUUAUUUCAGUCUUUCACUUAUAAUUCGAAUAACCACUUUAACCCAGAUAAAGUGCACUAUUUCUGAUGGAGGCCAAAGAGCUAUACUCGACUUAUUGGAUGAGCACCAGUCCUCUCAAGUCUCAAUUCCUCUAAAUUUUCGAAAAAGAAAAUUCUCUACAAUAACUUGAGUUUCCAUAUGUCCAACCAAACAAAAUUUUAGAUUUAUUUUAAGAAUAACAACAACGAGAGUAGAAUAUAGAAACAAGAGGAAUAGAUGUAAGUAUCCAGGUUUUACCUAGCUUUUUAACGUGAAAAGCCUACAAGACUUGGGCCUGCUAGUUUGAAGGUGGCAUCCGGACCAUAUUUAUCCCAAGAAGAAAAAAAAGGAAAAGAAGAAGAAAUUGGCCAGCUGAACAAGCAGUCUUCUACUAACGGGCCAAAAUUCAAGGAGGAUUUAACACUAUACUUGACCGGUCGUGCAGGCAAGAAUCUAAUUCAAUAAUGGCCCAUUUGGGCGCAAAAGAGUCCAUUUUGCUCCUAGUUUUUGCUAUUACUCUUGAUUUCCUCGAAUUCUCUUAAGACUUUGUGGUGGUUUUCUGGGAGUGUAUUCCUUUCUACUCACCACUUGUGGGUCCUUUUCUCUUUCUUUUGUUUUUUCUUCAAUUCUUGCUCUGUUUUUGUAGGGUAUGUUAAUUAAUAUGCUAUCUGACCUCUAGCCUCUUUUUUUUUCUCUGACUUUUCUUCAGAACUUUCUUAAACUUUCUGAAAAUUUUGAAUUUAGGUUCCACAUGGGUAGGCAGCCUUUGAUAAUAGUCGCGGACGCAGAACUGUGCAAAGAGGUCGGGAUUAAGAAGUUCAAGAGCUUCUCCAACCGAAGCCUGCCUUCUCCCAUAUCUGGAUCUCCUCUCCACCAAAAAGGCCUUUUCUUCACAAGGUAGCCCACCUUCCAGAGACUAUUCGCACAGGAUAGGAAUAGGAGUAGCUCUUUUUAUUGGAAUAGUUAUUUCACAAAUUUUUCCAGAUUUUUUUUGUUGGCUCAAACUUGAGUUAUGGCUCAAGUCUGAGGCUGUUGCUGACCAUAAGAAAGGAAUCGCUGGAUUGAAAAGAGGGCUUAUUUUAGUAAUACAGUUAUACCAGUUCGCCCUUAAAUUAGUUCGUUUCAGUAAUAAACAAGUUUGACCGGAAUAAUUAUUCCUUCUUUAUUCCUGUUGUUUUAAAUCCAUUUGGCGGGAAUAGAACUUUUCUCCGAACCUUAUUCCUGCUUUAUUCCCGGUCCAAACAUAACCACAGUUCUCAAGCUUGCCAGCCAAUGAACAAGAAUUCAUUUUUGUCUGCAGGGAUUCAAGGUGGUCAGCUAUGAAAAACACCAUAAUCUCCAUGUACCAACCUUCCCACUUAGCUAGCCUCAUCCCCACUAUGCAAUCCUACAUAGAGUCUGCAACUCGAAACCUCUCCAAAGCAGUAGAAGCAGAAGAAGACAUCACUUUCUCCGAUCUCUCCCUCGAACUUGCCACCGACGUCAUCGGCCAGGCAGCGUUCGGUGUCGACUUCGGCCUUUCCAAAGAAGGCUCCCCUGGUAAACCUAACAGAGAUGAUGAAGUCUCAGCCUUCAUCAAAGAGCACAUAUAUUCCACCACCUCCCUCAAAAUGGAUCUUUCUGGUUCUUUCUCCAUCAUAUUGGGCCUACUUAUCCCAAUCCUCCAAGAGCCGUUCAGGCAACUCCUCAGACGAAUACCAGGAGCCGCCGACAGGAAGAUGGACCAGACCAACCUAAAACUGAGCAACAGAGUGGGCAAGAUUGUCGCAAAGAGGGCUUGCGAGAAGGAAAGAGGGAGCAACGACUUCUUGUCAUCCAUAUUAAAUGCCAGGGAGUCGGACGGUGCAUCGAGGGACCUCUUCACCUCUGAGUACAUCAGUGCACUGACUUACGAGCACCUUCUUGCCGGGUCGGCAACCACUUCCUUCACGCUGUCAUCGAUUCUUUACUUGGUUUCCCAACAUCCAGAAGUCGAGAAAAAGUUGCUUCAGGAAAUUGAUGCAUUUGGGCCGUGUGAUCUGAUUCCUGCUGCGGAGGACCUUCAGCACAAAUUCCCCUACCUUGAUCAGGCAAAGAUCCAUCCAAACUAAAAGUAGUUUCUUUGCCAUCUGGUUUAAGCUGAGUCAACUUAUAGCAUGGCGUAAGCUUGAUAAAUACCAUCACUUGUCAUACUGAUAUCUAGAUGCCUGCAGUAGUAACUAUUCGAUGUGCAUGAACAAGUAUCAAUCAUGGGAAAAAAGAAAAAAGAUUUAUAUUUAGUGGAUUUAGAACUAGUCCAGAUGGAUCUUAAUUGGAUGCCAGAAACAUAGCAUGGACUGCUCGUCAAAGAUCCGACUAACAGAUAGGAAUUUGUUCUUGCAGGUGAUAAAAGAGGCAAUGAGGUUUUAUACAGUGUCACCAUUGGUUGCAAGGGAAGCAUCUCAGGAAGUGAAAGUUGGCGGCUAUGUUCUCCCAAAGGUAUGUGCAAUCCAAGGAAAUCUACAAAAUUUGCUUAAAAUUGAAAGAAGACAUUCAGAGAAGCUUUUGCAAUGUCUUAUUAACCUUCAAUCUUAGUCAACAACUGUUAUCCCAUCUACUUGGGCUUGGUUCUAUGGACCAUGCUACAUAUAAUCAAUCAAGUUUGGAGUAUGUUCCAAAACAACAAUUUAUAUGUUAUGGUGUCUGUGUAAACACUACAGGGUACAUGGGUCUGGCUAGCACUGGGAGUCUUGGCCAAAGACCACAAGAACUUCCCGGAGCCCAAUGUGUUCCGGCCGGAGAGGUUCGACCCUGCCUGCGAUGAAGAAAAGCGACGACAUCCCUACGCACACAUUCCGUUCGGGAUCGGACCGAGGGCCUGCAUUGGGCAGAAGUUCUCAUUGCAGGAGAUCAAGCUGUCAGUCAUACAUCUCUACCGCAACUUUGUUUUCAGGCACUCCCCUCAGAUGGAAAGCCCACUGGAAUUCCAAUAUGGCAUUGUGCUUAAUUUCAAGCACGGCGUCAAGCUUCAAGUCAUCAAGAGAUCCACUUUGUAGCAUCUGGAUUUGUGGUUGGUUGUUUGUUGCUCGAUUCUGGGAUCAUAGACUGUGCAACUUGUUCAGUAUUAUUGUUCUUAAACCUAUAAUCAAUGUAAUCAUCAGUAGGCUUUUGUUGAUUCGUAGGAGUGUCUAUACUCAAAUCAAAAUACAUCUUAGACGUAAAUCCAUGGGUCCUUGUGCAAAAAAAAAGGAGAAAAAGUUCUCAGUUGAAUCAUAAGGCCUUUUCAUUCUUAUUCUUGCAUAUAUAUAUAUAUAUAUAUAUACACAGCCAAAACAAAAAGAAAACGAAAGAGAAGAAGCUCACAGAGCUAUAUCUUGCAACAAGGCAAUCUAAUGGGAUCAGAGUAAACCAGACCAAAUUGCAUAGGAAACUGAACAACGAAACCUAAUUCAAAUAAAUCUAACCUAAGUUGGCAAAGUUUUGGCGUUGAAAACUCAUUUCAUGAGAAACAUCCUUACGUUUCUUGCUAAUGUUUCAUAAGAAAGAUUGACGUAAUUGAACUUGUGCUUUACUUUGAUGAUUUAAAUCUGAAGCCAGCACUGUAAUACUACUGCAGUUGGCAAACAAAUCCUAUGUCUAAUAUAAGUUUCUCAUGCAGUUGUCAAUUGUGUCAGUUAUAAAACAAAUCCUAUGAAUUAUGAAUUAACUAGUUAGCUAUAACUAAUAUAACUAUACAAGUAAUGUGUAAUGCAAAUUGUCAGGUUAGCUUUCUAUAACAUUUAAUAAAAAGAAACAGGCACUAGACAGUCUUCCCAUCACAAUCCAAAAUCCAAAUCGAAAUAUUUCUUUUAUGGUGGAUAACUAAUCAAUGUCAGGCUGCAAUUAAUCGCAAAAUUUAAUUUGAAGAGUAACUCGACCGAUGAUAAGUAAGUUCUCUUUCAUGGCCACCAUAUUUGUGAUCUUCUGUAUAUUAUUCUCAUCUAUCACUCAAAUACCAGUCCAAAGAUUUGUGUGCUACUCUGCACAUAAAUAUGAUAAAGAGAAAAAAACUGCUGAUUACCACCUUGAAUGGAAUCAACAGUCGACCAUUAAUUUAUUCUACGGAAGACGAGACCACAUUCUUCUUAAUCAAAAUGUUCCUCUCUGCCACAUCAGCCUGGGAUCGAUAGGUACAUCCAUGGUGAUGGGUGGGCACACACCAAAACAUCACAAACAAUUUAAUAAAAGAGACUAUAGGGAAGAGUAGCAAUAAUGUAUCCAAGCUAAAUGCGUCACCCAUCACCUCAUGAAUCACUUCUGAAGGAAACAAUAGCAUCUUCCAGGAGAGGCUACAAAGGCCUACAAGUAUAGGGNNNNNNNNNNUUGUUUUAUGAGAUGUUUUUUUUUAUUUAGAUGGAAGUGGGAGGCUUUUGUUUUAUGAGAUGAUCCUCUAAGGCUCCAAUCUAAAAAAAAUCUACUAUAGAAAAGUCUUCAAAGAUAAAAUAAAAUAAAAAAAAUUUUUCUAUAAGUUCGUUUUAAACCAGUCUACUGCAGAGAAGAUCUUAAAGAUAAAACGGUCUUAAUUUCUCUGACCAUAUCUCUUAUAUAUACACUGUAUCAUGAUGUUGCUACUCUAGCUAAAUGUGUAUUGUUCUUUCAACCAACCAUACCACGUUUCAAGGUGGCUGACAGCAAGAGAUUAUACAUCCAAGGCAGAAGUAGAUCUUUCUCCGUAGUUGCUCAAUUUAAAUCACCUGUAACCGUCCAUGUACUAAUCAAUGACAAGUUACUUAUUAUAUCAGAACAUAAUGGAAGUGGGUCCUACCCUUCUUGCCUUCUUGACUUCGGCAACCCUAGAUGGCGACAUCAGUUUGUGAGGAUCCCGUUGGUGGUCCGCUUCUACCUGGCCUUGGGCUUGGGCUAACACCUAACACGCAGACUCGCAAACAGGAAUCCAUUUAAAGCUGACGGCAAAUUGAUGGUGUUUUGUCCGUUUCUCCGUUGACCAGUGGGGCUUAUGCAGGCUUAGCUGCGGAAUGAAUUUUGAAGAGAUAAAAAAGUAUUUGAAUAAAUUUGAAGGCAUAUAUUUUAUUUUAUAGAUAAAAAAUUUAUAUAUUCGACUACAAGAAUAAUCACAUGUACUUAAUAUAUAUUAAAUUUUAUGAUAGUUCAGAUUUUAUUAAAAAUAAAAUAUAAUUGAAGAGGUAAUUUUCAUCCCCAAAUGGUAGAAUAGAGUUAUACUCUCUCCCCUAUUUAUUUCUUGUAAGAAUAUAAUUCUAACAAGCUAAAAAUAAUGUUUGGCAGCUUGAAUGAAGAGUAAAAGUCACAUUCCGUCUCUAUAUCUCUUAUCGAACAAACCCUAAAUCAAUAUUGCUAAUUAAGACGCAUACUAAUACCUAAUUGAUAUGUGGAUGAAUGAUUUCUCGAGAGGAGUUUCAUGCACCAUUUUUAAUCUUAGAACAAAUCAAUAGUUACAAAAUAAUUGCAUCGGCCAUUUAUGAGAAUCCUUUGCAGAACUUUCUGCAUGCGGAAUUGGAGUCUUUUACAUGCACCGCAUAUAUCAAGUACUAGAUUUAUAUAUUCCACAUUGGAGACUUAUGAAGAUGGUUGCAAUGUUCUAUUUUGCAAUGAAGCUAACAUCUGCACCAUUACACAACCAUGAAAUUAAUUAGUCUCUCCACAAGGAGGCGAUGAGAAAUAUAAUUUCUAACUAUAUGUUUCCGGAGCAAAUACUCAUGGAUGGGAAUCACUAGGGAAGUAACUUCCAAUAGCUGAAUCUGAAAAAUGAUGCUUCCAGGUUCCAUUCUCUGCAAAGACUGCACACCUUAAUUAGUGGUAAGGAAUGUAUUCAUGCAGGGAGUGAAAGAGGCAAUGAGAUUCUCCCCAUUGGUUGCAAGAGAAACAUGUUGGCAAGUUGAAAUUCACAUUCUAUUUGGGCGGAGAUUCAGCAUUCUAUAAAUCAAGCUUGAUCUCGUCCAUCUCUGCCAACAUUAUGUUUUCGGGUAUGCUUCAAAGAUAGAAUCCCCUCCUGCAGCUGGAGUAUGGCUGGGUUCUUGGAUUUAAACAUGGAGUCAAGCUACCGGCGAUUAAGCGACAAUGCUGAAUUGAUGUAAGCAUAGCGUUCAGCUUCUUGUAAAGAACAAUAACAAAUCUAUGUAUUGCAAUGAAUAAUCUUGAGUGCACAUUAAAUUUCAAUAUUGCUUUCUCUUUUUCUAUUUCAUUGAUGUUCUUCCAAAUUAGACCUCAGAACAAAUGUAAUUUUAUGAAAAAAUGUAAUGAAAACAUGGAAAACUCAUCAAAGCAAUUUGCACCCUAAGAUAAUAAUAUUCAUUGCUGAUUUUUAUGGACCAACUCAGGAUUCAAUUGCCAUAUUAUAGUUCGAGCCUAAAGAUCACUGCAUAUGGAUCCAUUAUUUAGUACAGAUAUUUGGCAUCCCACAAAUAAUCUAAUUGAUUUUUCUUUCUUUCUUUCUUUCUUUCUUUGUUCUUUAAGCGAAUACCAACAUUGUAUUAAAAUAAAGGCUGAAAGAUAAAGUGAGGGGAAGAAAUCUUCCAGAAAAGAAGGGAGAGAGCGAGAGCGAGAGAGAUAGAGAGAGAGGAGGGGGAAGGCAAGGAAAGCAACAAGACCAAAUUCCUAGCAGCCUGACACGUUGAGCUGGUCAAAAGAUAGCUACAAGAGAGUAGAGACACCCAAUUCCUGCAGCAUCCUGCCCGUCCCCUCUAUUAUCAAUAGCUCCCAUUAUCUCCUCUGUUACAACGGCAGAGCUGACCCUUGCACCAUCGAAACAAAUAAUCUACCUGUCUUGCUCAAAAUUAAAAAGAAAGAAAGAAGAGAGACAAAUAAUCUACUUGUAAUGCAGAUGAAUAAAGGUUUUUAAUGUUUUUACUUUCCCAGAAAAGUGUUUUCAUGCGUUUGUCUUAUUGAACUUUACUGAUUAGAUAACCUGUGCAAAUGGAUUGGACCACUGGUCAAUUUUGUAGUAAAUUUAUUUGACUUUGAAAAGUUGCCAUUUUAUAUUAAUAGUAAGACAUUGAUUGUUCAUAUGAUUAAAUCUUUUUUUUAAUUUAUUUAUUGUUGGUUUAGUUUUUUUAAGUCCUCCUAUCAGUUAUUUUUCAACACCUCCAACUCAUCUACUGUUUAAUACCAGUCUAAGUGUUUUUUUUAUUUUUUUGAUGAGAAGUCAAAAAGAAGGAUUUCCCCCAUCAAUUUUAUUAAUGAAAAUUAUGGUACAAGAGAAGAAAAGGAGAAGAUACAGAAAGAAUUAAAGACAGAUUCUUGUCAACAAAGUACAAACGGAUCCUCUUAAGAGUUUGAUGACUCUUCUCUACUCUUGCCAAACACAAAUUGCCCAAUAGAAGAGCGGAUUGGAGAGUCUUGUGAGGAAUUCCAUUAAUCUAAGAUUAUCCAGCCCAAAAUUUGCAAGUGGAACAUUUCAACCUAGGGUUCCCUUAAUUAUUCUGAUUUUUUUUUUCUCUCUUCCUUGCGUAAAGCAAAAUCCCUGCACAUGAAAGUGCUUGGCUUCUUUCAGACUGAUAAAAUUUUUUUAUGAGCAUAUGAUUGUUUGUAUUUUUUUUUUUGAGGGUGGAGGGGCCGACUAAGAAUUAAGAGAGACAUAAAUGUUAGGACCUUAAUUAUUGGGUAAAUAAUAUUCUAGUGUCAGCCAUCAAUCAAUUUGCAUUUAUUACUAAAUCUAAGAAGAUUGACUAUCCAUCGUGUCAGCCACCAAUAAAUUAUGAAUUUAUUACCACAUCUAAGAAGAUUCACGGGACUCUUUUGAUUUGCGAAAAAAAACGGCGGAGUGGUGAACAAAAAUAUAAAAAAAUAUUUUAUAUUUGGUUAUUUUUUUAAAAUAAAAAAUAUUUUUUAUAAAUAAAUUUUUAUAUUUUAUUAAAAAAAUCUAUGUAGGAGAUAAUAAUUAUUUUUUAUAAACUAAAAAUUAAGAUAUUUGUUUUUUUAAUUGUGCCCUUCAGCUUUUAAAUAAAAUAAGAUAAAAUAUAUUUGUUAUUAAGAAUAUAACAGAUAUUUUUUGCAACUUUUCUUAAAAAGGUAUAUGCUCAACUAAACAAAAAUACAAAAACUAGUUCUCAAGUAUCAUAUUUUCGGACAUCUUCUCAAAAAAAAAUAUUUUAAUGAAAAAAAAUUAUGUAAAGGGAGAUAAAAAGGAGCUACCCAAUUUUUAUUGAAAAUUAAUCAUAUUUACAACAGAGAUGAGGGGUAGAAAUGAGUUAUAUUAUCGAGGGAUGAGAGGAACAAAUGCUAGAAAAAAAAAGCUAAAUGGCUCCAAUUCAAAUAUUUGAUAAUUGAGAUAUAAAAUAUUGAUCGUCGUAAGAAGAAGCAGUAAAGAAUUUAUUUUUUAUAAAUCAAAAGUCUCGAACGAACCAAGUACUUGUAUUCAACCCGGACGUGGAAGUUGGUUAAGGUGGAUUUGAUAGGAGAAUAAGGAAUAACUUAAAAUUGGCGUAUUUUAGAUAUAAUAUCAAUAUGAGAACCCUAUCAUUAUUAUGCAAGAUUUUUUGAGUUUCUUCGAAUAUGAUUUGAAAAGAUACGUCACCAUGCGAAAGAAAAUAAGUUGGCAUGAACAGUAACGUGCUCAACAAACAUGCAGAGGAUGUCCACUGCAACAGAUUUUUUUCUCUCUCACACGAAUGAGAUGAAUGCAAUAUUAAUUUAUGAGUACUUUCAGCCAAAUUUGCAUUGAAAGAAUUGAUUAGUCUAUGACUAAAAUUGGUUUAAUGUUUUAGAAGUGAUAUUAGUUUUCCCCUGCCUCCAUGCAAAAUCCGCAAAGCAGAAUUUCCUUCCGAGUCAGGUCAGUCCUACUUAGGAAAUCAAAGGAUAUGCAUGCACAGAGCUGCGCGCAGCCACUAUCAUCAUGUAACUAUUCCUAUAUGCAAGUUAUUUGGGAUCCUCAUGCUUCACAAAGAAAAAUAUUGACUAGGAAUGUAAAAGAAUCCAAAGAGCAAUUUGAAUCCCUUUAAUUUCUGAAGCUUUUGUGGGCUUACAUUUUCGAAUACUACUUAGCUUGGAACAACCAAAAUUUCACUUACCAAUAAUUCAACAAGCUUUUUUGAAAUGAGGAAAGUAGAAAACCUUCUCCAUUUCAAAAUUCGGCAAGCAGAUUCUUCUGUUUGAAGAACUUGUAUGUUAUAAAAAGACAUACUGGCAGCAAGCAAUGCAGUUCUCUUUUGACGUAGGAACAUGAAUCUACUCACACAUGACAACAAGGCGUUGAACAACAAAAGCACAUACAAAGAACUCGUGCACACUGAUACAACAAGAAGCCACCUGCCAAAGUACACACUAGAACUCAGAAACUGGUUGCUCAUCAAAAUAGUAGUUCUUCUCUCUGGGUCUGAUCACCUUUUUAUUCCUUGGUGGCAUCGCAUCCAGCAGUUUGGAAGAAAAAACUGAAGAAUCUGAAUCUAUACAGCUCUUCGAGUCGAUGUUAGAUGAAGUCUUCCUAUGAUGGGGUACCUCCCCUGAUGACAGGCUCUGCAUGGUUGUUCUAUGAGUGUUGCAAGCUUUCUGUUUUGCCCUAACAGAUUCAGUCGGGUUCAUGUAAUUUGGCUUACUUCUCUUACUAUCUUCAGUCCUUUCUGAUGUCAAGAGGGUCAUGCCAGAUAGCGGUGUAGAUGUGCAGAUAGAAGAAGAUGAUGCAGAACUCUCAUCAUAAUGUAGUUCGGCGCUUGGAGAUGAAGUAGAAAGAGCUCUGCAGCGAUGAUGGUUGUUAAGCAUAGGCUGAGGUUUUGCUGAAAUCCUAGUAGUGACAUGGUUCUUCUUGAUUUGUACCAUACCAGGUUCAGAAUACCUGGAGCCGAUACAAUAAGAAUCUUUGCAGGUUUUAGAGGACUGGACUUCAGAACAGUCGGUCCGGGCUUGUUGUUCCAUUAACCUAUUUUCCCAAGGUUUUGCAGCCAUCCAUCGUUCCAACCAGCUCCAAUUUCCGUUGUUCUUAUCAAAAUCAUGGUGUUUCAGAUUCCACACGUUUUGGGAUGAUCCUCCAUUCAAUGCUGACUUCGAUUGCUGAAGGAGAACAGGAAAAGGAUUUAGUCACUCAAUGACAGAAACUAAAUGCUAGUUAUCAGUGGAGCAACAAGAAAGAAAGUAAACUAAAUCCUAGUAGUUAUCAGUGCGCUAAACUCUAUGCCUGCUAUAACCACCUGUUGACAAAGAGCGUAAGCAAGAGCCCUCUCUCUCUUAAUAGCUCCCUCCUGCCUCAUCUGUAGCAUUGCUCUUACUUCUUCUAGUGUGCCCUGACUGUCACACCAUCCUUCCUGAGAAAGCAAUAAGUUCCCCAAGAACUGUUACCAGUAUUAUACAAAUUCAUCGACCAUGUUUUGCAAUCUGACAUGGAGGAAAAUUGUAAAAAAAAAAAGACACGUAUAGAUUCAGAUACUAUGAUGUCCAAAGAAUAAAUUAGGUAAUUUUGUCCCCUCAAAACAAAGAGAAGAAGAAUUGAGUUACAAUGAUGCAAUGCCACAUCCUAAACAAUGCAACUGCCAUUGCGUAGCCCAAACAUCGAGUUGACGGUUAAUGGUCGGACAAUGGCAUAGAUUAGCUUGUCCAUAUGCCAUGAACACCUGCAAUUAACAUGCAAAUUCAAUCUGUUCCAUGCGUCCAACAAUCAAAAGUUUUUUUAGCUUAUUGAGAGAAAUACAAAAUAGUCUGAUAUCUUUCCGCUUGUUAUCAUCUUAAUUUCUGUCACUAGAAAUCGAAAGAAAUCACUUGCAUAAGCAUAUAUUCUCCACUCUGAUAUGCGAGCAACUGAUUCCAGUUCCAUAUCAAUUUUGGUUUCUUAUAAUUCAACUUGUCACCAGAUUACAUCCAAAGUUUGUCAGCUAUAAUUUUGUUUUCCUCGUUGAUUUAAUAGGAAAUCUAAAUUAUGUGAGAACGAACCGAGGUUUAAGUGUUAAAAGAUUGAAAAGUUGGGAGGUACUGGAAGCAGUUCUACAAAGAAAACAGAACAAAAGGCAAAGGGAGCUAGACUAAGAGGCGAGUAUGAAACGUCUGAGAUCAAGGAAAAUCAAAUGGCGAAUACCUCUGCUUCUUUUAAGGGAUCCAUGUUGUUUCGAUGGGCUUCCAGCAUCUUUUGCACUGCCUGUCCUUCAGUGGACAUACGAACACGCCGUGCGCGGAUACGCGCCUGGACUCGAACAAGGGCCUGCAUGCACCGGAGUGUCACCGCAGCCUGCUUCCUCACCUGGCGGCCACGGACUAUCGCCUGAAGCCUCACCAAUCCUUUCAGCGCCCUCAAUGCUCUCCUGGCCUACACUUGCAAUCAAUGAAACAUGGCUUAUAGACCACUAGAAAGAAGCACUCUACAUUCGAAAAAGAAAUCCAAGGACAGAGGAAGGAAAACAGCAGAGAAGCAUGAUAUCGUUGCAUUUAGCAUGUACUCAGGUGCACAUACUGGACGAGAAAACACAGCAGUCUAGAAGGAAACCGGCAACGAUAACAGCGGAAGGAACACAUCAGAGACAAGAAGGAACAGAAUGAAGCAAAGAAGGUAGCAAACGGUCAUAGAUGGGGCAAAAAUGUAGCAGAAAGAGAACAGAUAAUCCUCUGUAAAUAGUUUUGGAGGCAAAAAGACUCAAACUUGGUCAUAGGAGAAAUCAAACAAAAACACGAUUCUAAUCAUAUAACAGAAUACACUAGAAACUCAUCUAAUAAAUACUAGAAGGAGCUUGCGAAAAGAAAAGAGAAAAAGGCCCCUUUCUUUUUGGUUACCAGGAAGCCCCGGAAGGCGGUCUGUAUCCGAAUAGCGGCCCACUCCUGCCUCACUGCCAUGAAAUCCUUCGCAGGAGCCCGGACCACCGCAGCCACCGCGGCGCUGAAAGCAUCGGUCACCGACGAGACAUCAGACGCCUCCGACGUAGCCGACCUGUGGCUGCUGCCCCUCGAACCCCUCCACAGCGAUAGAUGGUCGCCCGAGGAGCUCCUCCACAGCUUCUUCCACUUCUUGUUCCUACCACCGCCACCACCAAGCUUUUCCUGGAAGGGAAGCAAAAACCACUUCAGCUAAAAGCCAGUAAUAAAUCACGAAAAACAAAGAAAGGAAGUAAAGAAUGGUGUUGAGAUGAUUACGUGGUCUUCUUUCUCUUGUUUCCUGAGGCCUAUCAAUGAUUUUAUCCACUUCCCGGAGCCACCCAUAUCUUGAAUCCUUCUGUUUCCGUAGAAAAAUUCUCCGCUUGGGGCCUCCGAAACACCUGCGAGCUGAAGAAUGCUGGUUUGAGAGAGAGAGUAUGGAGAGGUAUUGGAGUUUGUAGCCGUUUGGAAUUUGAAAUUCAAAAGAGAGAGAGAGAGAGNNNNNNNNNNNNNNNNNNNNGAGAGAGAGAGAGAGAGAGAGAGAGAAGCUGGGGAAUGGUAACGGGAAACAAAGCGACAAGAAAUCCGCCUUGGAUGCUUUACUCGCACUUUUGUUGGGGAGUGCGACGCAAUUAUACCACGGGUUUACAGAGUUAAUAACGUCGCUGCCACCCUGUGUCCCUCGGUUUCUGCUCGUAUGACUGCCUAUUCUGGCAUGGACUCACCGAUGGGGGAAAAAAAAGAGGUCAAAAUGCUGCAUUCUAUUUAUUUUCACUUUUCAACCAUUGGACGGGGGUGUCGAGUUUGCAGUCUUGCAAUCACUACCGUGUUGAUGGCUAUGAUCAUGCUUAACCUACAUUCUCACCUCACAAUUACCUGUCCAGUGUAAUGUUACAUGAACGUGUAUGAUUUUUACUUCUUUAAUGAUUGGAACAACCGAAGUCACUGUUAUCUUGAUCUCGGAACCAAAUUAAUUGGCUGAAUUGAAUUGAAUCCCAAGAAGACUAUGAAUUCCAAAUGCUGCGCUGUUUGAAAUCUAACAUCAGGCAUUUGCCUGUUCUUCUUCUUUCUUUUGAUUUAGAUCUGAGUCUUGAUCUCAGAGCUGAGUUAUUAGAUCUGGAGAUGCAUUCUAUCUUGGCUUUCCAACUCUCUUAUCAUUUUCAUCUUAUUAGUAAGUUCGAGAUAAACUGCCAUUCUCACGCCAGUAGGUUUUUUUGGUGUUAGUGACAAGGGAAGCCGCCGCCUAUAUAUGUAAUAAUUAACCAAAAAUAAAAGAUAACGGAGGAUAAGAAGGGCGAACUUUAUUUUCUCUUCAAAACAAUUUAACUGUGUUACAUGUAUAUAUCUCCUUGUCUACAAAAACGAAUGAGCUACCUGCAAACUUUACACUCUUUCAUGGAAGUCCUCAGUUCCAUGGCAGCCCAAUAAAAAUAGUAAAAAAAUGAGAUAUGAAUCAUAUCAAAAUAUAUAUAUAUAUAUAUAUAUAUAUAUAUAUAUAUAUAUANNNNNNNNNNNNNNNNNNNNUAUAUAAUAAUAUAUAUAUAUAUAUAUAUAUAUAUAUAUAUAUAUAUAUAUGUAUGUAUGUAUGUAUGUAUGUAUGUAAGUUAAAAAGAAUUGAAAAUAAAAAGAAACUAUUGGUAGGCUGGACGCAGCGAAGUUUCCCCUUAAAUCUAUUUCCUUCACCAGUUUGUCAUGAGGAAAUGCCUUCAUCUUCUCGCGGGCUUGGGAAGAGUUAGAGUGAUGGUGCGGGUAGGAAGGACCAUGUUUGCAAGGGAAAGCCUCAUCCCAGGGCUGGGGCGUGGAGAAGGGAUGGGACCCUUGUUCCCCACCGGCGAGGGGAUGAUCCUUGGUGAAAGAUUAACUUGCUCCAGUGCCUUGAACUGGAGAUCUGUGGGGUAUUCCCGGACGCACCCAAUGCGAGGCCCAGCCCCAGUUGUCCAUUUGCAUGAUAAGCACUUGCUCAACUCGAUCGUCAUUGGUUUCUGACAGUUGUUGCCCUUGAACUCUGCCUCUGAAGGCUCGGUAGGAGGCUCUUCCUCCUCGGUGUCGCUCAAGUCUCCUGGUUGAGAUGUUGUAGCAUCCUCUGCCACCUCCAUCACUGCCUCAGUCUUAGACUUCUUCAGUGGAGGGUAUUCAUCAUCCUUUUCACUUGAACAUCUCUGAAGAACAACGAAUGUACAUCAGUUCAUUUUGUUGUCAAAGUGAGAAACAGGAAGCACCUUUCCAUUACUCAUGGACAUCUAGGCAAGUUAUUUUCUAGCUAUCAGUCAGUCCCACCAGCUAUUUUUCUGCUGAUAUGAGUCGAGAAGAAGAGGAUUGAUGAUUAUACCUCGACAUCAGUAAGGUCUACAUUGUUUUCUUCAAGGAAGCUGAUGAACUCGUUAAAGUUCUCCUCAGUUGGGAGGUAAUGACCACUGUAUGGCCAUAUGGCCUGAAAAAAAAAACAUAUAAUUCACACAUUGUCUGUUACCAUGGGAACUUUGCUGAAAAAUCGUAAUAAAAUUGCACUCAUCAAGGAAAUAAUCAAUAUACUGCACCUUCAAAAUCCCCUGUGUCACAACCAAUCUCCCAGCAGCUGUUGUAGCGCCUCCAGCCAGAAAACUUGAGUGCUGAAACGAGCCUUUCCUCUUCUGCUCGUGCGAAAAAAAGACAGAAAAAGAGAGAGGUGAUAAAUUGAAACAUGCUGCAACAUAAAGAAAGGCUUUCAACCUACAUGCCUGAUAUGACCAAAUGCAUAAAUUAACAUGAUAAAAAGAAUGAGGCAUGCAUCAAGCCAGACAUGGAAGCAUGCACGCAAAUGCAGCUUGCAUAUGACUAGCUUGAAGCAUGGUUGUUUUAUAAGAUACAAUUUUAGAUAUUAGUUGUGAUAUUUACCUGUCCCACAUACAAAGCCCUGUAUGUGCUGAGAACAAAUAUACACUUAGAACCUUCACUACUGUUCACAAGCACUCCACUUUGCUUAUAUAUGAGUUUCCCAUCCUCGACGAUGACUUCAUAUGCCUCCCUCUCCUUCUGCAGGAGAAAUAAGAAGAUAUGAAUGAAUGGACGUUUCAAUAACAUAUAAUAUACUGAACUAAAAUGCACGUAGAUUAAAUUCUGAAUAGCUGAGGUCCUAAUUUAAGUUUUCAGUUGGUUAAGCAUUAAGGAUUAUACCGGUCCAAGGUACUUGAUGCAUUGCUGUUGGAGUUUAUUUCUUGGGCACUUCUCAAGAUUCACUUCCUUGCCUUCGCCAACAUCCAACCUUCAUUCUCACCCAAAAGGAAUAUUGGUACAUGUGUAAGAUUCACUGAUCUCAACAACAAUGAGAGAACAGGUGCAAUUGCAUUCUAGCUCCUACCAAUAGAAGAAUGGCUGUGCGCUCUCGCUCUCAAACCAGACAUCGUAGUAGAAACGCAGAUUGUGCCCAUAUCGGUGGCGUGGAUCGAUCUGUCCAGCAUGAUAGAGAAAAAAAUAAUGAGCACAGAUGAUUAACCAACAGGUACACCUAACAAAGUAGUUCAACAAUUUACAACCAAUCUUAUUUCUACUAUUUUGUUGCUCUGGCAGGACAAGAUCCUCCAUGCUAUUUUCUUUUCUUGCAUUUGAUUUGUCUUAAUGCUUUUAUAAAUCCUCUAUCCUAUGCAUGAUGGUAGUUGGGACUUGAUAUUUUGACAGAAGAAAAAAAACAUGCAGUUUCAUUACAGAGAAGAUAACAUACUGCCUCAAGCCAGUGUUGCAAUGCCAGCUUUUGAGCCCUGUGGUUUUUGGACAAACCCUUACCAACCUGCAGAAAAAGAGGAAAAUGGACUGUUACAGAAAGUCCAAAAAGACAAACUUUAAUCCUCUGUUAAACUCACUGUAAAGCAUCCAAAGCUUUCAAUAUCUGAUCUCAUUGAUAUUACCUUGGCAGCUCUUGUUCGUGCCCUGGCCCAGCGCGAAACUGCUGUCUCUGGUUUUUCAACAUCGAAGAAGGAAAUUGAGCUGUGCUUGAGGGAUGCAAAAUCCAUUGCUUUCCACCUGUGUUUGAAAUGAAUAAUAAAUGGAGAAAACAGGUUAAUAGGAUCAAAGACUUGCCAGCCAUAAUCUGUUAUGAUAUAAGUUUAAGAGAUUUUGAGACGAAGUACCAUAAUUCCUCGAUUACAACUGCACAAUCCGCCAGAUUUCUUCGGGUCCGGUAACUCUUAUAUACCUUCUGAAGCUUAACAGCUGCGGCAUCAAGCUCGCACUUAGGCCUCGGGGAUACUAAAGGACGCAUGGGCGGGUUCAGUUCAGGAACUCUAACAUUCCCUUUGCUCUUCAUAGAAGUAGGUUCCAUCUUACAGUAUUCAGAGUCCUGAAUCUUGAAAGCAGCAGUCAUGUCCAGCUUAGUUUUCUCACAUUCCCAAUUUAUAAAGCUUAAUGAUUCUCCCGGGACCGCUUUGCAGGAACCGUUACAUGAUGACUUGGUCCCUGAAUUGCUUCUCUUGAAACUAUCUAAUCUCAAAGUCAUCUUGACAUCCUUGUCACCAAUGCUAAAAGAUUUCACCAAAACAUCUUCUGCAUCUCCUGUCAAGCCCACAUUCUUGCUCCUUAUGACCCGUGCCCAGAGAGACAUACCGAUAGAAGUGACUCCCAAUUCUUAGUUUUUUGAACUUGAACUCAACCUGCCAAAUAUAUUGUCAAAUCACCAAAUUUUAGUGAUCCAACAGAAGUUAAAUUAAUGCCUCCAGUCUAUAUGAGUGUUCCCAAGAAUAGCCUUGUCAAAAGUUCAAACAAUAGCACAGUUCCUAUGAAGUAGUCACAAAGUUUCCAGCCAACAGACCAAAAAAUUUAGAUAAGAAGCAGGAUUCUUUAUUAUCUGUCAAUUGUAUCUAUGAGACUGGCAGCUGUACAAAAGUGGCAUCUACCACUUAAGUGGUGAUCUUAUUUUAUGGCUAGAUUGUCUUUACAUGGCGUUGAUAAACCUGCCACGUAAAAUUUCUCCGAAGAUGGUGCAAGCCUUAGUAGUAUGGGUAGUUCUUACAUCUAAAACAGGGAUACCGCUAAGCCUUUUCUUUAGAAGACGAAGGGAACAGAUGGUGGUAGUAAAGGGCACGAUAAACACAUGAAGCGUCUCUUUCUCAAGGAAAAAUAAUACAUACGAAACAUCAAUCCUGUCUCUUAGCAGAAAUGAAUAUAGCUUGACUGAAUCUAUAAUCAAUUUUAAAACAGAAACAUCUUUAUGAUCCAAUCGAUAAAACCAUGUAUCUCUUCACCACAAUUCAUUCGAAAGUCAAUGAAGAAAUCCAAAUCUUAACACCAAACAAACAGGCAUUAAUAAAGAUUGCACUUUUGAAAUUUUCCAUAUCAAAGAUCAAGAUAUCAAUGGUGCCAAGGAAAAGAAACAAGGGCAAUACGGAACAUCCAUAAACCAAAACCGUCAGCCUAAAAACAACAAGAGCAAAGGCAGGAACCAAAACAAGAACUCCAGGACUCAUGGUAUAAUUGUUAGAACCCAGAAAAACAAAACAGAAAGCAAUAAAAAUCCAAUCUUGUGGAGGCAAAAAAAAAAAUGGGCUCCUUUCUUCGUACCUGCAGGUACUCGUAAAAGAGAAAUUUAGCAGUCGCGGGGGAAGAGAGAACAGUUGAGAAAGCACACUGAAGGCGAAGGCAACUGGAUGCUCCGCCAGGGGCCGACCGUUUCCUAUAUAUACACCCAAAACUGAGGGUGGGCCAAGAGGAAACAAGUCUUUUGGACCCUUCAAACAC
rnacentral:lncRNA from 1 species